rnacentral:rRNA from 1 species
AUGAGCGCGCUGCCACGAGACGGCCUCCAUCGGGCCGUCCGUCCGUCCCGGCGCCAUCCCCUCAGUUCCCGGGCGAUACGCACAAAAAAAGAGCGAGAGACCGCGCGCACCAGCACAGCAGCUGUGGUGUGCUCCCGCUCGCUUUCUCGCUACCUUCCUCAGCUGAGCCGAGAGCAAAGCAUUAGCGGAGCCGCCCUUUUCUAUUUAUAA